rnacentral:rRNA from 1 species
CCUACGGGAGGCAGCAGUGAGGAAUAUUGGUCAAUGGACGAGAGUCUGAACCAGCCAAGUAGCGUGAAGGAUGACUGCCCUAUGGGUUGUAAACUUCUUUUAUAAAGGAAUAAAACGCGGCACGUGUGCCUUUUUGCAUGUACCUUAUGAAUAAGGAUCGGCUAACUCCGUGCCAGCAGCCGCGGUAAUACGGAGGAUCCGAGCGUUAUCCGGAUUUAUUGGGUUUAAAGGGAGCGUAGAUGGGUUGUUAAGUCAGUUGCGAAAGUUUGCGGCUCAACCGUAAAAUAGCAAUUGAUACUGGCAGUCUGGAGUAGAGUUGAGGUAGGCGGAAUUCGUGGUGUAGCGGUGAAAUGCAUAGAUAUCACGAAGAACCCCGAUUGCGAAGGCAGCAUACUAAACUGUGACUGACAUUGAUGCACGAAAGUGUGGGUAUCAAACAGGAUUAGAUACCCUGGUAGUC